AGAAAUGUGAACUUGUGCUAACAUAACAACUUCGCACAAAACCAUACAUUAUACAUCAAUACCACAGUAAUAUGACAUGAACCUUUAAAGAACAUUUUGUAUAAAGUGCAGCAGACUCAGUGCUAAUUGCUUUAGCCUCCGAAAGGGCACUUUCAUUGAAAAAUGGCUAGCGGAAGUUAGCAUCGGAGCUAGUGGCAAGUAGCAUGCUAACUAGCGCACAUGCACUGCCUGGGACUUACCAUGUGAAGCAACAAAUGCUACCCGGGGCUUCACAGUGCUCACGCUGGCUCACGGCCUCUAGAAUACAGUAUCACUCUUACUAUUUUCACCAUCCCGGAAGAGAAAUUCCUCUCCUGUUUCAGAUAAAGAACAUUUGCCCGCGUGUGGCUGGACUGUGGGAUUAUGGGAAUUUUAGCAUAUGGAAACAUUUGUUUAGCCUUUGUGUUGACAGUGUAGAGUUAUUUCUGCCGGCAGGGUUUUUAGCGUGUUGAGACUCUUUUUAUUGUAUAGCUGUAUUGACCACUUUGUGAUAGGGAUCUGGAAAUGUGGAAGUUAGAGCUCAAUUAUUUAUACUCCACAGUUUAUAUGUAAAGCCACAGUUUUAAAGUCUUUUAUUAUAUUAAUUAAGUAGUUUCAGGGAUUUUUAAUUAACUGUUCUUAUGGUUUCAGAAUUGAGUGAUUAUGGAGAGAUGUAUUUCACAACGUCCUUGAUCUCUUCAGCACUACUUUUCUUCGCCUUGAGGCUGAGGGAUGGCUCAGUCCAGACAAGGAGACAGACCUAUAUGCAUUGCACAGGUGUUACAUGCCACACAUCCAGUCACAUCUGCAACAGUUUCUGAGAGCAUGGAACAACCACUCACAGAGAUCAGCGCGGAACCAAUCUCCUGUUCAGCUGUGGUUGAGCAGAGAAAGAGAUGGAAGCACAGCACAUUUGUGUCAGGCAGCUCAAGACUGUGUAAACAACUGGAGAGGGCCACCUGUGUCAGAUCAAGUUUAUGUCCCAGAGUUGGAGCUUCCCCGUGACCUGUCGGCAGCAGAACUGGCAACACUUCCGAAUUCAAAUGUACCACUGACAGAGACAUUACAAGUUUACAUUGAGACUGUUUCCCUUCUCAGAGAAAUGAUGGACAGGUGAUUCACCAGCACGUACAUCAAAGCAAGGAGGUUUUUCCCGCAUUAAAGAAAUGGAAAACAUCAUAAAUUUACUAAUAAGUGUUUGAAAAUGUUGGGUCAUAUUAACAAUUCAGUCACACAGCAUUUUUGUUUUUCAGCAAAUCCAUGAAAGUCUCUAACUUUUCAAUAUCUGCUAUUUCAUGUAUCAAAAUGAAGUUCUCCUGUCUGUGUGCAAGACCCCAUCUCGUUUAGGAAAAUUCUAUUUUACUCUGCCAGAUGUCUUUGACGUAUUGCUGUACAUAUUUUAUUUUUACAAUGACAUUAACUUUUUUUUUAUUUCAAGUGUUGGGUCCAGAAAUUGAAGGAGAGAAUACAAAAUAAUGACCACUGAUCCGGCCAGGUGAAAU
rnacentral:lncRNA from 1 species